GCUUUUUAGUAUUUAGUUGGGAAAAAAAGGACCCGUUAUCGCCCCUGUAUGAUGAUGAUGCCUUACAUUCUCCAUUGCAGAGAAACCUCUUCAUCAGUCUAAUUCAUGUGACAUAGAGAGGCAAAUCUUCUUCAUCUUUCUUGUUUGAUGUGACCGGUGUACUCCGAUAUUGCUGACAUUAUGGGAAAAUUAUGCAACAAAUGAAGGGAGCAAAUUGCUGGACAUUGUAUCACAAAAUCCUAUAAUUGCUUUUUCAGCAGUUUCUCAAGUAGAGUACCAAGGUGGCUCACUUGGUACAACAGGAUUUACAUCAAUUGAAAUAAAUCCAACGAUUCCAGAAGCAGAAGAUUUAAAGCAAUGGU